AGAGUUUGAUCCUGGCUCAGAGUGAACGCUGGCGGUAGGCCUAACACAUGCAAGUCGAACGGCAGCACAGGAGAGCUUGCUCUCUGGGUGGCGAGUGGCGGACGGGUGAGGAAUACAUCGGAAUCUACUCUGUCGUGGGGGAUAACGUAGGGAAACUUACGCUAAUACCGCAUACGACCUACGGGUGAAAGUGGGGGACCGCAAGGCCUCACGCGAUUGAAUGAGCCGAUGUCGGAUUAGCUAGUUGGCGGGGUAAAGGCCCACCAAGGCGACGAUCCGUAGCUGGUCUGAGAGGAUGAUCAGCCACACUGGAACUGAGACACGGUCCAGACUCCUACGGGAGGCAGCAGUGGGGAAUAUUGGACAAUGGGCGCAAGCCUGAUCCAGCCAUACCGCGUGGGUGAAGAAGGCCUUCGGGUUGUAAAGCCCUUUUGUUGGGAAAGAAAUCCUGUUGAUUAAUACUCGGCAGGGAUGACGGUACCCAAAGAAUAAGCACCGGCUAACUUCGUGCCAGCAGCCGCGGUAAUAC
rnacentral:rRNA from 1 species